rnacentral:rRNA from 1 species
UACGAAGGGUGCAAGCGUUGUUCGGAAUCAUUGGGCGUAAAGCGCGUGUAGGCUGUUUAUUAAGUCGGAUGUGAAAUCCCUGGGCUCAACCGAGGAAGUGCAUUCGAAACUAAUAAGCUAGAAGACGGUAGAGGAAGGUGGAAUUCCAAGUGUAGAGGUGAAAUUCGUAGAUAUUUGGAGGAAUACCUGUGGCGAAGGCGGCCUUCUGGGCCGUUCUUGACGCUGAGACGCGAAAGCGUGGGUAGCAAACAGG